rnacentral:lncRNA from 1 species
GCGACUUUGCACACAUCAACCUUUCCGAGCUUGUCUCCUCAUUUGCAAAAUGGGGACAAACAUGGCAUUUAUCUUCUAAGGCCACUGUGAGCGUUCUGAGAGAGAAUUCAUGGAAGAUGCUUAGCCCAGGGCUGGGGACCCAGUAAGCACUCCGGGAAUAUUCGUCAUUACUAUUAUUACUAUUAUUGCUGCUGCUGUUGCUGCUACUACUACUACUGCUGCUGCUGCUGUUGGAGAAAGAACCUUCACUGAGGCUGUAGCCCAAGUGCUCCAGUAAUCCCAGCUAACAAAAGCGACCAUGGCUACUCUGACGUGUGGGACGACGAUGCUAGCCAGGCUGUGCCAGACCCCUCCAGGGAGCCUUGCUGACCCCUCCACGACUCAAGCUGCAUUGGCUGCCCCUCCGCUGCACUCUCCAAGUUCCCUGUGCUCCUGGAUCUGGCACGCAUUAUGCUGUCUCCAGAGUACUUGUGUUGCAAAGUGUCUGUCCCCUCUCAUCACUUCAGCUGCCUACGGAUAGGGAUGGUGUCAUCUCUGAGCCUUGAUUCAUAAGACCUGCAUGGGGCAGAUGCUCACAUUGAAUGGACCAAUGAGUGGUGGUUACACUGUUUACCUGCGGGUGGAGUGGGGAGACUUCCUGUUAGCAAGUGCUUUUUCCCACACUUGAGACUGCCUCUCUCCUCUCUAAGUCCUGGAUUUUAGGCCUCCUUCCCCUUCUACCCAAGCUCACCCCCCCCUUGUCAUAACCUGAUGAGGGCUGAGGGAGGUGGUACAGGAGAUGAGUUAAGUGUGGGGCCACUUGUCAGCUAAGAACCCUUGACCCAAGUUUCCUUUUCUGGAAAACAGACAAUAACAGCACCUUCUUAGAGUGGCUAUAAGGACAUAACAAGCCCCUUCCCUCCCCCUGUCCACACUCAACAAGGGGCUAUAUUCUUUCCUGAAGGUCUGUGAUUGCCUCCGGAGGCUGGAGGGCAGCUCUGGAGUCUGGCUUGGCUUGGCAUUCUAUUUGCAACCAUUCCAUAUCCCUUGUCCCCACCCCACUCCCUCCCUAGGGCCACACCUCUCCACAAUGCAGAAGCCAUGGGGUACUCUGGGAUUUAUGUCCGUGGUGUGUAGGGGAAACUCCUGGAACAAAUGAGCGGCUGUGCACGUGGUUGUGUUUGGUUUUGGACUCAGAGGGCACCUCUGGUUUUAUGGGUCUGUCCUUGGUCUUAUGCUGGCUGCCUGCCAGGUUCCAGGGGUCCACAUCCCUGGAAUCACUACCUAGGCCCAAGGUGGGGAGCAGAGACCGAUAACCCAGGUGUCUGGGGUUAUUAGCCAUCAGAAACAUGGAACCUGACAGCAGGAGAGUGGUCACCACUUUGCCCUGACAUCUGGAGGCCUUAUUGCCCCACCCUCAGGUCAUCAUCCCCAAGGCCUGGCAGAUAUUUGUGUGAAGACAGAAGGAAUUUGGGUGAGGGCAGAGACCAGCAUGGCACCCACCCUUUUCCUCCAAUGCCCCUCCCUCUCCCAGCUCAGGGGCUUAGGAGUGUGGUAUGCAGCGGGGAUGGAGGGUAUGAACCCUAGAAGCAGACCGGCCUCAAUUUUAAUCCUAACUAGCUGUAUUGUGUGACCUUGGGCAAGUGACUCCAUUUUUCUGAGCCUCAUUUCAUAAGCUAUAAAAUGGGGAUAACAACAGCAUAUAUCUUUUAGAGAGUUGUAAGGAUUAAACAAUUAAAUGGGA